AUUGAACGCUGGCGGCAUGCCUAACACAUGCAAGUCGAGCGAGCGGCGGACGGUUGAGUACUGUCUGGGAAACUGCCUGAUGGCGGGGGAUAACUACUGGAAACGGUAUCUAAUACCGCAUACCAUCAGAUUUGCCCAGAUGGUAUUAGCUAGUCGUUGGGGUAACGGCUAACCUAGGCGACGAUCCCUAGCUGAUCUGAGAGGAUGACCAGCCACACUGGAACUGAGACACGGUCCAGACUCCUACGGGAGGCAGCAGUGGGGAAUAUUGCACAAUGGGCGCAAGCCUGAUGCAGCCAUGCCGCGUGUGUGAAGAAGGCCUUCGGGUUGUAAAGGACUUUCAGCGGGGAGGCGUUACCCGCAGAAGAAGCACCGGCUAACUCCGUGCCAGCAGCCGCGGUAAUUC
rnacentral:rRNA from 1 species